UACGUAGGGUGCAAGCGUUAAUCGGAAUUACUGGGCGUAAAGCGUGCGCAGGCGGUUGUGCAAGACAGAUGUGAAAUCCCCGGGCUCAACCUGGGAACUGCAUUUGUGACUGCACGGCUGGAGUGCGGCAGAGGGGGAUGGAAUUCCGCGUGUAGCAGUGAAAUGCGUAGAGAUGUGGAGGAACACCGAUGGCGAAGGCAGCCCCCUGGGCUGACACUGACGCUCAGGCACGAAAGCGUGGGGAGCAAACAGG
rnacentral:rRNA from 1 species